CCCUAGUAACUGCGAGUGAAGCGGGAAAAGCUCAAAUUUAAAAUCUGGCGGUCUUCGGCCGUCCGAGUUGUAAUCUAGAGAAGUGUUAUCCGCGCUGGACCGUGUACAAGUCUCCUGGAAUGGAGCGUCAUAGAGGGUGAGAAUCCCGUCUUUGACACGGACUGCCAGGGCUUUGUGAUGCGCUCUCAAAGAGUCGAGUUGUUUGGGAAUGCAGCUCAAAAUGGGUGGUAAAUUCCAUCUAAAGCUAAAUAUUGGCGAGAGACCGAUAGCGAACAAGUACCGUGAGGGAAAGAUGAAAAGAACUUUGGAAAGAGAGUUAAACAGUACGUGAAAUUGCUGAAAGGGAAACGCUUGAAGUCAGUCGCGUUGGCCGGGGAUCAACCUUGCUUUUGCUGGGUGUACUUUCCGGUCGACGGGUCAGCAUCAAUUUUGACCGUUGGAUAAAGUCUAGGGGAAUGUGGCAUCUUCGGAUGUGUUAUAGCCCUUGGUCGCAUACAACGAUUGGGAUUGAGGAACUCAGCACGCCGCAAGGCCGGGUACUUGUACCACGUUCGUGCUUAGGAUGCUGGCAUAAUGGCUUUAAUCGACCCGUCUUGAAACACGGACCAAGGAGUCUAACAUGCCUGCGAGUGUUUGGGUGGAAAACCCGAGCGCGUAAUGAAAGUGAAAGUUGAGAUCCCUGUCGCGGGGAGCAUCGACGCCCGGACCAGACCUUUUGUGACGGUUCCGCGGUAGAGCAUGUAUGUUGGGACCC
rnacentral:rRNA from 1 species